GUGAGGAAUUUUCCGCAAUGGGCGAAAGCCUGACGGAGCAAUGCCGCGUGAAGGAUGAAGGCCUAUGGGUUGUAAACUUCUUUUCUUAGAGAAGAAUAUUGACGGUAUCUGAGGAAUAAGCAUCGGCUAACUCUGUGCCAGCAGCCGCGGUAAGACAGAGGAUGCAAGCGUUAUCCGGAAUGAUUGGGCGUAAAGCGUCUGUAGGUGGCUUCAAAAGUCUCCUGUCAAAGAUCAGGGCUUAACCCGGGGCCGGCAGUAGAAACUCUGAGGCUAGAGUUUGGUAGGGGCAGAGGGAACUCCCGGUGGAGCGAUGAAAUGCGUAGAGAUCGGGACGAACACCAAAGGCGGAAGCACUCUGCUGGGCCACAACUGACACUGAGAGACGAAAGCGAGGGGAGCAAAAGGGAUUAGAAACCCCAGUAGUCC
rnacentral:rRNA from 1 species